rnacentral:rRNA from 1 species
CAAUAGCGUAUAUUAAAGUUGUUGCAGUUAAAAAGCUCGUAGUUGGACCUUGGACCUGGACAGGCGGUCCGCCUCACGGCGAGUACUGUCUUGCUGGGUCUUUCCUCUUGGUGAUCUGUUGUUUCGGCAGCAGGGAACCAGGACCUUUACUUUGAAAAAAUUAGAGUGUUCAAAGCAGGCUCGACGCCGGAAUAUAUUAGCAUGGAAUAAUAAAAUAGGACGUGCGGUUCUAUUUUGUUGGUUUUUGGAAUCGCCGUAAUGAUUAAUAGGGACAGUCGGGGGCAUUAGUACUCACAUGCUAGAGGUGAAAUUCUUGGAUUUUGUGAAGACUAACUUCUGCGAAAGCAUUUGCCAAGGAUGUUUNCAUUAA